AUGGGGAAACUGAGGCACAGAGCACCGGCUGCGGCUGCUCCGGCACCCCGGGCCGUCGCUCUCUGCCCCUUCCCAGAGCACGUUUUACCGCUUGGAUUUGGAGAAGCGGCUCAGUUUUUCCCUCCGCUGAAGGCUGCCGGUGGCAUCGGUUUGCUCGCGGGGCACCCGCUGCUCCGGGGCAGUGGGUUUUGCAGCCCUGGCUCUGUCUUCCUCCACCUCCCGGUUUUUUUGUCAUAUAUGAUCCCGCAAAAAAAAAAAAAAAUAUUAUUUUUGUCAUAUUAUAGCAAAUCUCCGCUGCGUUGCAUUGAUGCAGCCCGGAAAACUUCAGCGCUCGCUGCGUGCGGAGUCUUUCCCGGCGCCUGCGCGCUCGCCGUGGCGAGGGCUGCGGGGUCUCGUCCCCGUCUGCUCCGGCUCCCGGCACUGUUUCUCUUGCCCCGCGAGCCACGUCCGGGAGGAUUAGCCCCUUGCCGGGGGUCAGGCGGGGGGGGGGUCGGGAAGAGGUGGUGGCGCUGGUGCAACGGGCCCCUCAGCCACGUCCUGCUGCCGCUCCGUCUCGCCGGAGCACGCGGGAAAAGCCGAGUGACCGCGUUCCCUUUUGUCGGCUCGGGGCUGGCGCUGGGCCGAAUCCGCGUGACUUCCCGAUGCCCCUCUCCGGCCCUGAACCGCGGCGUCUUCGGCAGCGUGCCGGGGGUGGGGGGGGCCGUGGGCAGAGCCGGGGAGGGCAGGGAUGCUCGGGACCCUGCAUCCGCGCGCCCCUGCGCCGGGGGCCAGGUGCCGCUUGCACCUUGCCUGCACCUUGCCUGCACCUUGCCUGCACCUUGCCUGCACCUUGCCUGCACCUUGCCUGCACCUUGCCUGCACCUUGCNNNNNNNNNNNNNNNNNNNNGCACCUUGCCUGCACCUUGCCUGCACCUUGCCUGCACCUUGCCUGCACCUUGCCUGCACCUUGCCUGCACCUUGCCUGCACCUUGCCUGCACCUUGCACCCCUCUCCGACCGGGACCAGGGUGUUUUCCGCUCCCUCAUCCAGUGCCUGGGGAAAUCCUGCUUGCACCCACGUGCCUGA
rnacentral:lncRNA from 1 species